ACCGCUCGCGCCCGGCUGGUCGGGCACCGGCCUUUUAAGCCGGAUUGGCAGGGUUCGAGCCCCUGGGGCGGUA
rnacentral:tRNA from 2 species